rnacentral:lncRNA from 1 species
CUCACGUUCCAGAUGGCCAGAUUCUGUACCUGGCUCCUGGCUGCCCCUGGCGCCAUCUUGAAUCGCUGUGAGGCGGUUUGAGCGAAGGUGUCUGAGCUGCGGUUCUGUUCUGGAAGCUCUAAUCCGACACUGUAGGCUCAAGACCUUUGCAUACAGCCCUCUACAGAUAACUGAACAUAUCUAAUCAAGUUUCUUUGCCUUUGAAACUUUGGUUUCUACAGGUCCAUGAGGGCAGGGAUUUCUUCUCUUUUGUUCACAACUGUAUAUCCAGAGUUUAGAGUGAACUUUGAAGAGCAAAAACAUUCGACAGAGAGGAAAGAAACAGAACACAUAUAUAAAUAGAGAGAGUGAAGAAGUGGAAAUCAUUGAUUCAUCAUAAAGUCAACACUCUGCAAUGUGCAUGUCAGUGUGCAUCGUGAAGCCCAUGACUUACGUCGAUUGAUAUUUUCUCCCCAUUUGAACUAUUGCCUUCUGGAGGACAGGGAACAUAUUAACAUUUCAAUCAGAUGCAGCUGAACGGACACUAAUCUAAACGUUUCAAGACCAAGACAUUAGUUUUAACUUGACUACAGUGUAAUACUUACAGAGCUUCUUAAUUUCUCUAAGCUUUUCUUUUUUUAACCUGUCAAAAGAGAAAUAUAAUAUCUCCUCUGCUUUCUUAAUAUAGAUAAUGCAG